GCUCAGUUGGUUAAGUACACAACUCCUGAUUUAGGCUCAGGUCAUGAACUCACGAUUCAUGGGUUCGAGCCCCACAUUGGGCU
rnacentral:tRNA from 1 species